UCGGGAAUUUUGGGCAAUGGGGGAAACCCUGACCCAGCAACGCCGCGUGAAGGAUGAAGUAUUUCGGUAUGUAAACUUCGAAAGAAUAGGAAGAAUAAAUGACGGUACUAUUUAUAAGGUCCGGCUAACUACGUGCCAGCAGCCGCGGUAAUACGUAGGGACCAAGCGUUGUUCGGAUUUACUGGGCGUAAAGGGCGCGUAGGCGGCAUGACAAGUCACUUGUGAAAUCUCUGGGCUUAACCCAGAACGGCCAAGUGAUACUGUCGCGCUAGAGUGCAGAAGGGGCAAUCGGAAUUCUUGGUGUAGCGGUGAAAUGCGUAGAUAUCAAGAGGAACACCUGAGGUGAAGACGGGUUAGCUGGGCUGACACUGACGCUGAGGCGCGAAAGCCAGGGGAGCAAACGGGAUUAGAUACCCCCGUAGUCCCUGAGCGGGCUGGCAAGGCGCAU
rnacentral:rRNA from 1 species